GAUUCAGAUGGUCAGACCCAACGACUCGAAUGUGGGGCAAGUUUCACCAAGUUUACAGUUAGCCAGCAUGUUUGCUAGCUUGAACUGCAAUGCUGACAUGGUAAUUUCAGUGGGAGGAGAUAGUCUCUAAAUUUCUGUGUAAUGGCGUAGGGAUGAAUGAUUAGAACUGGAGGCUAGCAAUUAUGCUCGUUCCCAGUAGCAAUACUACAGAACUGUUAACUAUUUUUGAGCCAAUAUGAGGUGAUGCAGCGAGUAGAUCCGUGUAACGAGGUACAGAUUGAGAUUGGCAGUAUAACAAAAUACAAAGGGAUACUGCAGCUAUUUCUGUUGCCUGUUC
rnacentral:sRNA from 1 species